rnacentral:tRNA from 1 species
AAGAUUUUAAGUUAAUAAAACUAUUAACCUUCAAAGUUAAAAUUAAAUGUUUACAUUUAGGUCUUA